rnacentral:misc_RNA from 1 species
GAUGAAGAACGUAGCGAAAUGCGAUAAGUAGUGUGAAUUGCAGAAUUCAGUGAAUCAUCGAAUGUUUGAACGCACAUUGCGCCCCAUGGUAUUCCGUGGGGCAUGCCUGUUCGAGCGUCAUUUACCCCCUCAAGCUCCGCUUGGUGUUGGGCGUCUGUCCCGCUUCGCGCGCGGACUCGCCCCAAAGGUAUUGGCAGCGGUCGUGCCAGCUUCUCGCGCAGCACAUUGCGCUUCUCGAGGCACCGGUGGGCCCGCGUCCAUCAAGCUCACCCCCCCAGUUUGACCUCGGAUCAGGUAGGGAUACCCGCUGAACUUAAGCAUAUCAAUAAGCGGAGGA